rnacentral:rRNA from 1 species
AAACUUUCAACAAUGAUCUAUGUCCU